GCUAUUUUGGCAGAAAAAAAUGUAAUGAUUUUAGAAAUCAUAAAUAUAUAUUUGUUAAUAUAUAUGUAGUA
rnacentral:tRNA from 1 species